GGAUAUACUCUACUCAGUGGUAGAGUAUGUGCUUUCCAUGCAUGGGGUCCUGAGUUCAAUCCCCAGUAUCUCUA
rnacentral:tRNA from 1 species